CACCUCCCCCUCUUCUAUCAAGUCAUCUCCACACUCACUCAUCUCUUAGAGAACCCAUACAGCACAGCGGACACUUUUCUUAGCUUUCCAAUGGCGGCAGCCACCAUGUCCCUCUCCUCCUCGACCUUUGCCGGCAAGGCGGUGAAGAAUGUACCAUCUUUAGCUCUCUUUGGCGAGGCCCGAGUCACCAUGCGCAAGACCGCUGCAAAGGCGAAGCAGGUUUCCUCCGGCAGCCCAUGGUACGGUGCCGACCGUGUGCUCUACCUCGGCCCACUCUCCGGUGAGCCCCCGAGCUACCUGACCGGUGAGUUUCCUGGCGACUAUGGGUGGGACACUGCCGGGCUUUCUGCUGACCCCGAGACUUUCGCCAAGAACCGGGAGCUGGAGGUGAUCCAUUGCCGCUGGGCCAUGCUCGGGGCACUUGGUUGUGUCUUCCCUGAGUUGCUCGCCCGCAACGGCGUCAACUUCGGUGAGGCUGUUUGGUUCAAGGCGGGCUCUCAAAUAUUUAGUGAGGGUGGUCUCGACUACCUCGGCAACCCCAGCCUCAUCCACGCACAAAGCAUCCUUGCUAUUUGGGCAUGCCAGGUCGUGCUCAUGGGUGCCGUCGAGGGGUAUCGCGUUGCUGGCGGCCCACUCGGUGAGAUCGUCGACCCACUCUACCCAGGCGGCAGCUUCGACCCUCUUGGCUUGGCCGAAGACCCCGAGGCAUUCGCCGAGCUCAAGGUGAAGGAGAUCAAGAACGGUCGCCUUGCCAUGUUCUCAAUGUUUGGCUUCUUUGUCCAAGCUAUCGUCACGGGCAAAGGCCCACUUGAGAACCUCGCGGACCACAUCGCCGACCCCGUCAACAACAAUGCAUGGGCAUUUGCCACCAACUUUGUCCCCGGCAAGUAAGGUGCCGGCUCUCAAAUCUUUAGUGAGGGUGGUCUUGACUACCUUGGCAACCCCAGCCUUGUCCACGCACAAAGCAUCCUGGCUAUUUGGGCAUGUCAGGUCGUGCUCAUGGGUGCCGUCGAGGGGUACCGCGUUGCCGGCGGCCCACUCGGUGAGAUCGUCGACCCACUCUACCCAGGCGGCAGCUUCGACCCUCUUGGCUUGGCCGAAGACCCUGAGGCAUUCGCCGAGCUCAAGGUGAAGGAGAUCAAGAACGGUCGCCUUGCCAUGUUCUCAAUGUUUGGCUUCUUUGUCCAAGCUAUCGUCACGGGCAAGGGCCCACUUGAGAACCUCGCUGACCACAUCACCGACCCCGUCAACAACAAUGCAUGGGCAUUCGCCACCAACUUUGUCCCCGGCAAGUAAGGUGUCUCAGGAGUCAAGACUCUGCUCGCCAUGAGGCGUGUUGUCAUGUGGUCUGAGUUGUACUAUCAUGAUGUAAAUUAUGAGAAUUUUGUGCUAAAUCACGGUUCGAUUUGUCCA